UAGCUCUGGUUUCUCUUAAGUCCUGCAUAAAUCUUUUGCUUUUUAGUAAAGAUUUUUGUGGAGAGGAACAACAAUGAGUUUGAUGUAUUUCUAUGAGCAUUGCUCUGGCGAAGCU